rnacentral:lncRNA from 1 species
AGAAUCUGAAAAGAAAUGGCAAUGAGCAGAGGUCUCCCACCCUCACGUGGAGGACAGGGUCCGCAAAGAUGAGUCACAUUGUAGAACUUCACUAUUCAGAGAAAGCCCCUUCACAUGCAGAAUCUCGCUGGUCUCUCAGGACAAUCCUGUGAGAGACGGGGUCUCAUUAUGUUGCCCGAGGCUUCAGUAUCUUUUCCAAAGCAACAUGAAAGAAAUGUGACCGUAAAUCAAUCAGCUUCUUGGUGUGAUCUAUGUGACGGCUAGGUGAUAAACGAGUUGGUCAGAGAAAACUGGAAAUAUUUCCAAAGCCAUGUUUACUCCCUUCACCCACCUGUGAGUCUUCGCCUUGGCUGUUUCCGACUCGGAAUGUCCUCGCAUUGAUCCUCCCAAUCACAGCCAGCUGAAACCAGCCUCCUUCCUGACGUAUUCAGUAACUUUAGCUGAUUGCCAUCUCUCCUUCAUCUCAACAACCUGUACCACACUCACUGGAGCACUUCGCUUUGCAUCUUUAGUCGACCAGUUCAGAUAUAUACAACCUAUAAGGUAGGGACGGAGGCUUCUACCUGCCUGUACCCCCUUUGGAGGGCCCACGAAUACAGAGCUGAGCACAAAAGAUGUUUAAAGGACAUUUUGUCAAAAAUGUCGCUUACAGGUAGGUCGUUAUUAGCAAGGUAGAGCAGCGGUACGGCCGAGUCUACGCUUGGGAAUUCAUUUGCUGACUCUUAUCAUUUACUGACUAAAGCAAAGUUACUGAGGCCUCAGUUUCCUCAUCUACAACCCGGGGAGAUGACCAGUACCCAUCACAAUCGAUUGCUAUGAAGAUUCAAUGAUAAUGCAGAUAAGGCACUUAAUACAGUGUCCCCUCACCGUCCACACCACACGGGCACGCCCGCUUAUUCCUGAGGACCGGGCUGGGAUGUCGCCUCCUUUGUGUAGCCUUCCUACCCUGACUUCGCAGACUGCUCCCACCGCCUGGAUCCAUGCCCGUCCACCCGCCAGCUCAGGGCUGAACGGCUGAGGCGGGCGCGCGGUGGAGAAAAGAGCUGCAGACUGAGGAAGGUCAGGAAGGAGAAAGGGACACACCAGACGCGGCGUCUGAAUCCCCCUCCACCCAGAGGCCCCCGAGCAGCAACUCCGCCCCACCUCCCGCCCGCUCCGCCGGAAGCCGGUCAGCGCCAGCCGGAAGCCCCGCCCCCUAGAGGCACCGCGGACACCGUGCAGCGCUGUUCACCCAGAUGCCAGCUGUGACCUUGGCUAAGCCAGUGACUUAACUCGGGCCCGUUCCCCAUUCCCACGUUGUUGCCAAGUCUCCAGCCUGGAAAGUAAACGGGCUUCAGGUGUCCUGUUUAGAUGCUUAAAAUGAGGAACGGCAGGAGCACACACACUGCUGCCACCUCACACCUUUUCACUUCAUCCUGACGAAGCUGCAGUUUAGUUUAUAUUUUAACUCAAAGACGUGUUAGGUUUUGGUUUGAUGGCACUCAUCCAGCACUUGUGCAGAAAACAAGGUAAAGGGGGCCCAUGGGUCUAUCAGAUAACCUGAACCCGAGACCUCUCAAUCUGGAGGAACAGCUUGAAGAAGUCAUCUAGAAGCUAUAAAGUCACAGAAGCUUCUUAUCCUAUUGAAAGCAAGACUUCCUAUCCAAUGGCAAUACAAACUUUUACGCAGUAAGACCCUGCACUGAUGGAUCCGCUGGUGCCACCCAGAUCAAUAAACUGGCUCAUCUGAUCUUGUGGCCCCCAUCCAGGAACCAACUCAGAGCAAGAAGACAGCUUCAACUCCCUAUGCCUUCAUCUCUGAUACGACCUGUCAACACGCCCCACUCCCUGGCCCCCUACCUGCCAAAUUAUCCUUAAAAAAACUCCCAUCCCUAAAUUUUCCGGGAGAAUGAUUUGAGUAGUUAACUCUGGUCUCUCGUUCUGGCUCUGCAUGAAUUAAACUCUUUCUCUAUUGCAAUUCCUGUCUAGAUAAAUCGGCUCUAUCUGGACAGCAGGCAAAAUGAGCCUGUUGGGUAGUCACAAUAUAUUGAUAAAAGGAUUAAUCCCAAAGCAAUGUUCUGAUUAUGUCACCUAAUUAUGGUCACAUCAUCUGACGUUUGAGGAAACUGAUUUUCGGGCAGGAUCCCCAGGAGUUGGAGACCAAUCUGGGCAGUAAAGUGAGACCCCUCUCUACAGAAACAAAAAAAAGGUCCUACAUGGGAGCAUCACUUGAGCCCACAAGAGCCAUGACCACGCAACUGCACUCCAGUCUGGGUAAGAGUGAGACCCCAUCUCAGCCGGGCGCGGUGGCUCACGCCUGUAAUCCCAGCACUUUGGGAGGCUGAGGCGGGCUGAUCACCUGACGCCAUGAGUUCGAGACCACCCUGCCCAACAUGGUGAAACCCCGCCUCUACUAAAAACACAAAAAUUAGCCGAGCCGUGGUGGCGGGCGCUUGUAAUCCCAGCUACUCGGGAGGCUGAGGCAGGAGAAUCGCCUGAACCCGGGAGGCGAAGGUUGCAGUGAGCUGAGAUGGCACCACUGCACUCCAGCCUGGGGGGGACAAGAGCGAGACUUCAUCUCAAAAAAAAAAAAAAAAAAGAUUUUCACCAAAUAAUACAAUUAAAAACUGAAAAGCAGCUUACUUACUGUUUUUUGGUCCCUGGCUCAACUCAUCUUGCCACUCUUUGGGAGCAAGAGUCUCAGAAGCAUCUUUCUCAGGAAUGCAAUCUCUCUUCUAAGCUAAGUGCGUAAAAUAUCCAUCAAGACAACGAGAACAAGUAGGGAU